rnacentral:tRNA from 1 species
GGCUCGUUGGUCUAGGAGUAUCAUUCUCGCUUUGAUUGCGAGAGGUCCCAGGUUCAAAUCCUGGAAGAACCC